AUUGAACGCUGGCGGCAUGCCUUACACAUGCAAGUCGAACGGUAACGGGCCUUCGGGUGCCGACGAGUGGCGAACGGGUGAGUAAUGCAUCGGAGCGUACCUUUCAGUGGGGGAUAACGUAGCGAAAGUUACGCUAAUACCGCAUAUUCUGUGAGCAGGAAAGCAGGGGAUCGCAAGACCUUGCGCUGAUUGAGCGGCCGAUGUCAGAUUAGCUAGUUGGUGAGGUAAAGGCUCACCAAGGCGACGAUCUGUAGCGGGUCUGAGAGGAUGAUCCGCCACACUGGAACUGAGACACGGUCCAGACUCCUACGGGAGGCAGCAGUGGGGAAUUUUGGACAAUGGGGGCAACCCUGAUCCAGCCAUGCCGCGUGAGUGAAGAAGGCC
rnacentral:rRNA from 1 species